GCCACGUCGUUUAAUUAAAUCGACCAAUAAAAAUGUUCCUUUGUGCCAGGCCAGCUCUUCUAAAGCUGCAAUUUGCAACUCGAAAAUGACCUAAAGUGGGAUUCUACGGUUGGGCUCACUUGCUAAGCCCACUAAACAGAAACCCCUAACAUCCGAUAGCCGUCCAACGAAUCUCUCCAUCCUCUUCGUCUUCUCCGUUUUCUCUACUUGCGAUCUCCAUUACUAAGCCUUCUCUGCCAUCAAUCAAUCGUUCUCUUUAAUACACACUUCAUGUCUUUCGUUUCACCUCCCUCUCUAUCUCCUUAUUUUAUAAACUACUUCGUCUUCCAGUCAAAACCGAAGAGCUCCUCUCUCUUUUUUUGUGAUCAACUUUCCAGGGUACGACCGAAGAGCUCCUCUCAAUAAGCCGAAUCCAUGGCGAUGAACCCAACGGAGAAACAUGUCUCCAUCUCACCAGGGUUAUAUGGUUCCGAGCUACGCCUCCGACUGUUACAUUUCUUGAAGUGAGGAACAAAAUACGAGAACUAAAGGUUGCAAACAGAAAGGAAAUUCGAAGCAAACAUCAAAUAAUUAGCAAGAAGAGAGGAACAAAUGUAUCGACAGCACUGGCGGUGAGUAUUCAUGGAGGGAUUAGUCGUACCAGAGAGAUGUGGAACGAAAUACUAAAAAUAGGUCCAAGUCCAACCAAAAAUCAAGGUGGUUUUCUUCGUCUUGAAGUUCAGACACUAAGCCAACAGAGUAAAGAAAGGACUGAAGCAAGGUACCAGAAGAGCAAGGAUUGCAAAAAAAAAAAGUCAACGCCUUACUUCAGCUUUCCUCCCAACAAUUGGCUGUCGUAUACAAGCUGUAAUCUCACAUUAUUUUUUUUUUCUUCAUCAAGCAAUCUCGCAUUGUUUAUGACAAAAAAAUUGUGAAGAUUUUUUGGCAUCACUGUUGAAAACAAGGAGGGCAUAAAGCAAUCACAUGGCAUAACUCAUGGGGUCUCAAUACCAGAUUGGUAACUGUUUAAUCUUAGUGUGAUUUAUUUUGUUUUGACGUUUUUGGUAAUUUUAUUUUCUCUAAUAUCAAAAUUGGGUUCAUGUAACAUAGAUUAGAGUUAUGUUUAUGAAUCAUGGAGAUGACAAAGACUUAGCAUUUCCUCCAAAAGUUGCAAAUCAAGUAGUUGAUCCCAAUUUCCUUUAAAGAUAUUGUCUCGGAAGCAUUUUUGAUGUGUGUGAAACUAUUGAAUCCACCUUGAUUGGGACUUGAAACUGUGCUAAAAUAGGGUUUUACGACAACUUUUAUUGCCAUUGGAAGUAUUCAGAUCGGGGAACUAGAAGGUGUUCCAAUGGGAGUUGAAAAUGGUCCAAGAGAUUUGGCUAAAAAUUAGGCCAGCCGUGUCUCAUAGUAUGUGUGUAGGGUAACAGUUUCUUAAAUUCUUGGGAACAGCUGAGAUGGAUUUCAUGAGAGAAGACUUCACUACAAAAUCAAGGACUUUCUGGAAAAAGAGAAAGGUCGAAGGAACCACUCAAAGGUAAAACUAGGUGGAUUUUGUCGAAGAUUUGAGCUAAAGAGAAAUUAUUUUUUUCUGACUUGAACCAAAAAAUCACAUUGGAAGAGCUUCUUGACGAGGAAGAAAUUAUUCAAGAGUGCUAAGGAAGAGCCGACUCAUACAUUUAUAUUUGUUCUGAUUUUUUUCUCGAUACAUCAUUCACAUUUCUUAGAAAAAGUUUCUGACUAGACUUUGGAGUAUUGAUGUUUUCAGUCUUAUGUGAUAAAUCUCGAGUGUAGAAACUAUUGUGGUAUGUUGUUGAAGAACCUUGGGAUGAUGCUGAUACCAAACGUACUUCAAUUAAUAUAUAGUAUUCUGAAUUCAGUGCCCAUUAUAUUUAUUUGUUGAAUGUUUCUGGAAAUACUUUAACGGUUGUUCUUUUAGGAUUCAUCUCUUCUGAGAUAUUCACAUCUGGAUUUGAUGUUAUUUUAAAGACUUUGGUGGAGGAUGAUAAUUGAUAAGGCUAAUUUGUAAAGGUCUCUACCAUACGUGAAAACGGAGGAUCUAGACUACGUACUCCUCUUUUUACGGCUGUUGUCUUUCUACAAGCGGAAGUAAGAAAAAAAUUUCUUUUUGUCUGAUAUAUUAAUAGUCUACUUGGUGAUUUUUGCAUCAUGUGUAGAAAUAGAAGUUUCAAUAUUUAAAAAUAAAUUUUUAUUAAUUUUAAGGUUUAUUAUUUAAUUAAAAUUUAAUUUUAAAUCUUAAUUUAACUAUAUGCAAAAGUAAAAGGUAAUAUAAAUACUUUUUAUUAACAUUU